AUGAAAAAUGCUCCCAUCUGAUAUUAGAAGCAUAAAGAGUUUUAAGGAAUCUGUGGUCUAACUAUAUUAAUCUUUGAAAGAAUGCUUUCUGUUCUCCUUAAGGGGUUUGCAGUCACAGGCAUCAGAUGAGAAGCUGAGCACACAAGUCUCUGCCAGGCAGACAAACGACCACAUCUGCUCUGGGGCCUGCACUUAUGCACAACACCACACAGGGGAUUUCUGUCGGAGAGCCUAAUGCUCACUGGUGGAUGGGGUGACAUUCUUCACUUUUUAUUCCCAGCACCUGCAGUAGCAUGUUUGUCAUUUUCACUCCAGACUUCAACAUAUCUGCCUCAGUUCCUUUGUGUAUUCAAAGGAUUUCAAAUGAGCCCUCCCAUCCAUUCCCCUCGCUGAGAGUCGCUCCCAGGGCUGAUCUGACGCAGACCACAUGCAGAGCUUGUGUAUGAUGGUAUUGACUUUACAUUCAGGCUGCUUACUCUCCCAAGGCUUCCCUUGGAGAGAUAAAAUGGGGUUGGCAACCUUCUUUUUCCCCUUGCAGAACCUCACAUCGAGUUUCAGCGUGCAGGAAGGACUCAUGGACUUGUUUUGGUGUGCGAAUCAGGAUUUAUGAGCGGUGACACUAUGCAGAUAUGAUGGAGAGAUUGCCUCAUUAAAGAGAACAAAACAGCAAAGCAGCAUAAGGUAUACAACUCACAUAUCUGCUGCUGUGAUUCCCAAACAUAUUCUCCCAGUGAUGUCAACGUGCCUGGUAUGAAUAGUGAUGUCAUCUAAAAGAAAAGGACUGGAGCUCGCCGGAGAGCGUCGCCAACAGAAGACUGUCUAGGAGCCAGAGCAUUAGCAUAGAGGCUAGACAGGUCCACUUUCAAACCCAAUCACCCGAGCUGUCAUCUUUCUGCUACUAUUGCUUGUUGCUUCGAGCCCCUGCCAGGGCUCAGUCUCAAAAUAGCUACAAAAUAAUAUUCAAAGAAAUGGCUGUACUCCAUAAAGAUAUUUCCCCUGCAGAGCUCAUCUCUCUGCCUCGCUGUAAUUGGGGUGUGACCUAAAUAUCUGACUGAAGCUGCUCUUGAGCGAGUCUGCAGCCUCAUUGACCUACAUUGAACAUUAGUAAAAAUUUGCAGGAAUCAAUACACCACAGUGUCCUUACUCUUGGCAUCAGGGUGGUCCUUUUGAAUGUAAUAAAUUUUGUUAUUGUCGUGGGAAGGUAAUAAUUUAAAUUCAGUUUAAGGCUGUAUGCAGUGAUAAGCACAGGCUGCGUGGGUUUGUUAUCAACCUGUUGGCUUGCUGCAAAGUUGAGCAGAUUAUUUGGAGGUCUCUCAUCUUUAUGUAGUUUUUUAACUAUUAAAAUAAAAUGUUUUUGAUUUUCAGUUGAGUCCAUGACUCUGCUCUCUGAAAACCAACAGAAAGUUAAGCUGCUACUCCCAGUCUGAUCUCUUACUGUGUCUGUGUCAGCUAUUGUCUGAAGAAACGGUGAGUUUCAGAAGAGCUACAACAAACCUCUGAUGUUAACU